GAGGAAGUAAANGUNGUAACAAGGUUUCCGUAGGUGAACCUGCGGAAGGAUCAUUA
rnacentral:rRNA from 1 species